AAAUCAUUUGCUUUUCCAGAUGCUUCAGUAUUAACUUGUACCAUUUUCUUUUUUUUCUUUUUUUUUUUUUUCUCCUCUCCUUAUCUCACCUCAGGAAGAAGAGGGAUUACCUCAUUUCCACCUCCUCUGAAAUAAAUCCUCAUUAUGGAUUUGCACCUGGGGAGGAAGAAGCUGAUUUCCACUCCCAGCCGGUUCUGAGCAGAUAUUUGAAGAGGUCCAGAAAUGGAAAACCAGUCGAAAAGCACUGCAGCUGUGUCCCAGAGCCUGUACCACGGUGAUGGCACUGGGGAUGUGGCCUCGGGCUCUUCAAAGCCUCUGCAGCUGCCUCUGGACCUGAACUGUUGUGACUUCAUGUUGUCCAAGUAAUUACAUACAAGACCAUGGAGAGAGAUCAAAUCCUGCCAUCUCCCUUGGAUCCUGGGAAUGGCCUCUUAAGGCACCCUCGAGCCUCGUUAAAGGAAACAAAUCAAAGUGCUGCACCAGAGGAUUGCAGGUAAAGCUGUGCUCCUGAGGACCUGCCUUUUCUAGAUAGCCCCAUGUAUGGGGAGUGAAACAUUUCCAGGAGAUUCGAUUCCAUCUGGGGCCUGGGGAAAUUCUGCAGCUCCACCAACAAUCCAUCACCACUCGCUCAGGGAGGAGCGAUAAAUCCAUCAUCAUCUU
rnacentral:lncRNA from 1 species